rnacentral:rRNA from 1 species
GGAUUAUGUGGUUUAAUUCGAUGAUACGCGAGGAACCUUACCAAGGCUUAAAUGGGAAUUGAUCGGUUUAGAAAUAGACCUUCCUUCGGGCAAUUUUCAAGGUGCUGCAUGGUUGUCGUCAGCUCGUGCCGUGAGGUGUUAGGUUAAGUCCUGCAACGAGCGCAACCCCUGUCACUAGUUGCCAUCAUUAAGUUGGGGACUCUAGUGAGACUGCCUACGCAAGUAGAGAGGAAGGUGGGGAUGACGUCAAAUCAUCACGGCCCUUACGCCUUGGGCCACACACGUAAUACAAUGGCCGGUACAGAGGGCAGCUACACUGCGAUGUGAUGCAAAUCUCGAAAGCCGGUCUCAGUUCGGAUUGGAGUCUGCAACUCGACUCUAUGAAGCUGGAAUCGCUAGUAAUCGCGCAUCAGCCAUGGGCGCGGUGAAUACGUUCCCGGGCCUUGUACACACCGCCCGUCAAGCCAUGGAAGUCUGGGGUACCUGAAGUCGGUGACCGUAAAAGGAGCUGCCUAGGGUAAAACAGGUAACUAGGGCUAAGUCGUAACAA